GCGCAGCAGUCGCGAAAACUCUGCAAUACGCGAAAGCGUGACAGGGCUACCCCGAGUGUCGUCCGCUGAGGACGACUUUUCCACGCUGUAAGGAGGCGUGGGAAUAAGGAGAGGGCAAGUCUGGUGUCAGCCGCCGCGGUAAUACCAGCUCUCCGAGUGGUAGGGACGUUUAUUGGGCUUAAAGCGUCCGUAGCCGGCUCAACAAGUCUCCCGUUAAAUCCAACGAUUCAAUCGUUGGACUGCGGGAGAUACUGCUGGGCUAGGAGGCGAGAGAGGCCGACGGUAUGCCCGGAGUAGGGGGAAAUCUGAUAAUUCCGGGAGGACCACCAGUGGCGAAGGCUGUCGGCUAGAACGCGCCCGACGGUGAGGGACGAAAGCUGGGGGAGCGAACGGGAUUAGAUAUGAAGUUGAGUUGUUGCCAGCUUCACUAGAUACCCCGGUAGUCC
rnacentral:rRNA from 1 species